rnacentral:misc_RNA from 1 species
AAGGAGCACUUCUCCGGACAUGCCCGCACAGGUGGGAAUGUUGUUCCGGCAGAGACCGUUUCGGAUGCAUACGUCAUCCGGCGGACGCUCAUGGGUGGAACGCUGACAGCUUUCCCUGCGUAUCGGUGCGUCACAUGGCGUGCUGGUGGGUGAAUAUAUCGACACACUAUUGGGUCCUGAAAGAACACGUGGAAGCGAGUUUUUUCCAGGCAAGAUAACGACGAGGCUUUCUCGGCGGUCAUACCGCAGGAUGUUUUCCUGGCUGGUGCCGCAGUAGUGAGAGGGUCUUGUGUGUUGUUUGAGAACUGCACAGUGGACGCGAGCAUCUUUGUUA